AGAAUCACCUUUGUGAUCACA
rnacentral:miRNA from 10 species